CACACUGUAAACGAUGAAUGCUAGGUGUAGGGGGUAUCGACCCCUUCUGUGCCGGAGUCAACACAAUAAGCAUUCCGCCUGGGGAGUACGGCCGCAAGGUUGAAACUCAAAGGAAUUGACGGGGGCCCGCACAAGCAGCGGAGCAUGUGGUUUAAUUCGAAGCAACGCGAAGAACCUUACCAGGUCUUGACAUCCAGUAAAAACCUGAGAGAUCAGGUGUGAGCUUGCUCAUACUGAGACAGGUGG
rnacentral:rRNA from 1 species